ACCGCCCACUAACUUCGCAUCUAGCAAAAAGAAACACGAUCUCUCGUUUCCCUCCGCAUACCAAUUCCUCACCAUUUUCUUUUUCUCUACAAAUACUCAAACCUCCGAAAGAAGAAUUGAACGUAGACCACUUACAGCAUUGAAAUCUCCUUAGUCCUUCUCUUCUUCACUCUACCUCAUUUGAAAAACUAGUGUUUCGGUUCCCAUCUCUCUUUGACAAGGAAAACAGAACUAUGAAUCCAUUUCAGCAUUUGGGUUUCUGUCUAGGGUUUCAACUCCGGUAUUUCUAAUCUGAUUUUGUGUUUGAAAUUGGUACUUUUCACUGUUUCUGAAUGAAUCUGGGAAACUUUUUCUAUUGGAUCUUCAAAGGGAAGGAAACAAAAGUAAAGCAAGAAGAUUGAAAUAAGUUAUGCCAAGUAUAGAAUGGAAGAUCAACAAACCGAAGAGCAAGGCUCUUCAGGAAGUUGACUAGGGGUGUUAGAGGCUACAUUCAGAAGAAAAUAUAAUAUACUGCAGGUCCUGUCCCUAAAACUGAAAAAGUUUGAGGUGCUACCGCUCUUGCAUCUUUCAUGGGAAAUUGGAUCCUAAGGCGUAACUCAACUGAGGAUGGCCAGAAUUUACCUAGCGGAGACAGUCAAACGGAGACACUAUAUUCCGAUUGCAUCGGACAAAGCUUUGGGAUAUGAAACAAUUAACAAUGGGAGGCCAUAAGGAAUGGUUAAUGGCAAGAAUUUAAGAAUUGCUAAUCACAGUCACAGGUCAUAUAUACUUAUUCUCCACAAUCACUAUCGUCACCUCCACCUCUACCAUAAUGAUUUCCAUGUUCACCGGCAUACCCUCCUUUUUUCAACACUGGUACCACCACUAAUUUCACUACCAUAUUAACCUCCAAUAGCAGAUUUGCAGACCCCCCUCCAUUACUACCAGCACCAUCCCUGUAACAACCAGCAUGUUCAACUCCAGCACCAUAGGCAGAACAACUACCAGAAUCACUGCUAAAACCACCUCCACUGCCAUGGCUUAUACCAUGUUCAACUCCAACACCACUACCAGAAUAACCUCUUCUACCAGAACCAUGCUCGCCGAGAAUGUUACAUUGAGGCUACAACUUUUUGCUGAUAAUGAGUUAUUGUUGGCUAACUACCGUGCGAUGCAAUAAGAUUGAGUUGACUAACACCUGUUUCACUGUUCGUUUUCUUAAGGUCUACCAUCUCUCGAUGUUCUUUUGUUGAAUCAAAUUUUUAGAUGCUAGUUUUCAUUUGCUUUGCAGGACAUGGCCCAUGAAUGGACUGCUGUAGUAGAUGUCCUAUGUUAUAAGUUGUUGU